CCCUUAGAUGUUCUGGGCCGCACGCGUGCUACACUGAAUGGAUCAGCGGGUCAGGUUGCGCGAAAGUGUUUCCUAAUCUUUAAAUCCGCUCGUGAUGGGGAUUGACGGUUGCAAUUUUCCGUCAUGAACGAGGAAUACCUUGUAAGCGCGGGUCAUCAUCCCGCGCUGAAUACGUCCCUGCCCUUUGUACACACCGCCCGUCGCUCCUACCGAUUGAGUGGUCCGGUGAGGCUUUGGGAUCUGAGCGGAAAGAGCGUUUCGCUGUUUCUGCCCGGAAAACUCAGUCGAACCUUAUCAUUUAGAGGAAGGAGAAGUCGUAACA
rnacentral:rRNA from 1 species